rnacentral:tRNA from 3 species
GGAGAGGUGGCUGAGUGGCUGAAAGCGCUCCCCUGCUAAGGGAGUUUAUAUGGAAACAUGUAACGAGGGUUCGAAUCCCUCCCUCUCCGCAA